rnacentral:rRNA from 1 species
AGCAGCCGCGGUAAUUCCAGCUCCAAUAGCGUAUAUUAAAGUUGUUGCAGUUAAAAAGCUCGUAGUUGAAUUUUAGGCUUGACCGGGCGGUCCGUCUCUGGCGAGUACUGUCCUGUUGUCGGGUCUAUCCUUCUGGUGAGCCGGUAUGUCCUUAAUUGGGUGUGUCGGGGAACCAGGACCAUUACCUUGAAAAAAUUAGAGUGUUUAAAGCGGGCUUUUGCUUGAAUAGAUUAGCAUGGAAUAAUAGAAUAGGACGUUGGUUCUAUUUUGUUGGUCUAGGACCACCGUAAUGAUUAAUAGGGAUAGUUGGGGGCAUUAGUAUUCAAUUGUCAGAGGUGAAACUCUUGGAUUUAUUGAAGACUAACUACUGCGAAAGCAUUUGCCAAGGAUGUUUUCAUUAAUCAAGAACGAAAGUUAGGGGAUCGAAGACGAUCAGAUACCGUCGUAGUCUUAACCAUAAACUAUGCCGACUAGGAAUCGGGCGACGUUAUUUUCAUGACUCGCUCGGCGCCUUAUGGGA